rnacentral:rRNA from 1 species
GAUGAACGCUGGCGGCGUGCUUAACACAUGCAAGUCGAACGAUGAAGCCCAGCUUGCUGGGUGGAUUAGUGGCGAACGGGUGAGUAACACGUGAGUAACCUGCCCUUAACUCUGGGAUAAGCCUGGGAAACUGGGUCUAAUACCGGAUAGGAGCGUCCACCGCAUGGUGGGUGUUGGAAAGAUUUAUCGGUUUUGGAUGGACUCGCGGCCUAUCAGCUUGUUGGUGGGGUAAUGGCUCCCCAAGGCGACGACGGGUAGGCGGCCUGAGAGGGUGACCGGGCACACUGGGACUGAGACACGGCCCAGACUCCUACGGGAGGCAGCAGUGGGGAAUAUUGCACAAUGGGCGCAAGCCUGAUGCAGCGACGCCGCGUGAGGGAUGACGGCCUUCGGGUUGUAAACCUCUUUCAGUAGGGAAGAAGCGAAAGUGACGGUACCUGCAGAAGAAGCACCGGCUAACUACGUG